CCUGGUCCUCACAGACCUGGUGACGCCUGGCCACGGGGCCCAAGAGAGCCAGAUCCUCAUGCUUCUGCGAACAGAGCGCAGCCUUCAGUCACCUCUCUGCUGGCGUGUUCCUGGGUCCAUGAUGGAAGAAGGAAAAGUAUUUUUAAAAGACAGUCUAAAGCUUACACUGUGACUGCAACAGAAAAUGUGUUCACCUCAGGAGACACUUCUGUCGCGAGUGCAUCUCAGAUGGUAGAAACCUCAGAAGGCCAUAGUCUAGAGUAGGGGCUCAAUGCAAGCUGCAGGAACUGAAUGAAGGUCUCUGAUGGUUCUGGUGUCCUGGGCACCCAGAAUAAGUGUGUCACCAUUUGUCCUGAAGCUGACUUCUCUGAGCUGGAUGGCACCCUGGACAUCAACCGGCCCUUCACCCUCACCUCACACAGGAGGGACACUGGCCCAUAGACAGGAUGCCCGCUCUGGUCACCAGCUGGAGGGUGGCAGACCUUGGGUACCUAAGCUUUGGACUCUGCCACACAGAGCACUUCCUCAGUCCCUCCUGCCGCCCCUGGCAGGGUGGAGCUGGCAGGGCAGCUGAUCCACGAUCUUCCACUUCCCAGCCAGCAGGAGGAUGGAAAAGCAGAAGGGAGGGAGAGACAACCUCCUUUGCAGGGCGUGACUCGGAAGUUGUACACAUCAUUUCCAGUCACAUUCCGUGGACCAGAAUUAGCCCUGUGACCAACCCUGGCUGCCAGAAAGUCUCUGCUUGGGCGAUCAGGCAGGCAGUUACAUCUUUGGGAACAUCUCUCACCCCCUGGGAACACCUGGGCAGAAACUGAAGGGCAUUUAACACAUUCUCCUUUGUGUCUAAUAAGAAUUGUCCCCAUCAGUCAGAGCUCUGUGCUGGGUACAUAGGUCAUCUUUACACAACCCAGCAAUGGAGAGCACACCAUUCCCAGACUGCAGAUGCAGAAACUGUGGCUCAGAGAGUUAAGCGACUUGUUCAGAUUCACUCAGCUGGUAGAUGGUAGGUCUGGGAUUGAGACCCAGGCCUGGCUGGUCCUGCCAGGACACAGUAUCACAGCUUUGAUUGGGGGCGUCUUUUUGUUUACAUGUAUUUUUUAUGCUCAAUGUACAUUACUUUUGAAAUACACAGAAAAGGG